rnacentral:pre_miRNA from 1 species
UAUGUACUCCCUCCGUCCCAAAAUACUUGUCGAAGAAAUGGAUAAAAAUGGAUGUAUCUAAAACUAAAAUACAUCUAGAUACAUCCAUUCCUUCGACAAGUAUUUCCGGACGGAGGGAGUAUUAG